UGGGGAAUCUUGCACAAUGGGGGAAACCCUGAUGCAGCGACGCCGCGUGAGCGAUGAAGCCCUUCGGGGUGUAAAGCUCUUUCGACGGGAACGAUAAUGACGGUACCCGGAGAAGAAGCUGCGGCUAACUACGUGCCAGCAGCCGCGGUAAUACGUAGGCAGCAAGCGUUGUUCGGAGUUACUGGGCGUAAAGAGUGCGUAGGCGGUGCCCUAAGUCUGUUGUGAAAUCUCCCGGCUUAACUGGGAGGGUGCGGUGGAAACUGGGGUGCUUGAGUGCGGGAGGGGUUAGCGGAAUUCCUGGUGUAGCGGUGAAAUGCGUAGAUAUCAGGAGGAACACCGGUGGUGUAGACGGCUGACUGGACCGCGACUGACGCUGAGGCACGAAAGCGUGGGUAGCAAACAGG
rnacentral:rRNA from 1 species